UACGUAGGGAGCAAGCGUUGUCCGGAAUCAUUGGGCGUAAAGCGCGCGUAGGUGGCCCCAUAAGUCCGCUGUGAAAGUCAAAGGCUCAACCUUUGAAAGCCGGUGGAUACUGUGGGACUAGAGUACGGAAGAGGCGAGUGGAAUUCCUGGUGUAGCGGUGGAAUGCGCAGAUAUCAGGAGGAAUACCGGUGGUGUAGACGGCUCUCUGGACCGUCACUGACGCUGAGACACGAAAGCGUGGGUAGCAAACAGG
rnacentral:rRNA from 1 species